GCCACCAUCCAGAAAGAGGAUGACGUAGCUACAUGUUUAGAGGGGAGUCUAAAGGAAACACACUGGAUGACAGCUCCGACUGAAGCAGGGUGCAGGUACAGCAACACAGGCCACCAUCCAGAAAGAGGAUGACGUAGCUACAUGUUUAGAGGGGAGUCUAAAGGAAACACACUGGAUGACAGCUCCGACUGAAGCAGGGUGCAGGUACAGCAACACAAAGGCUUUGGAAGAGACGCUGUUGGUGGAUUAUGUACAUGGGCCUAACCUCAGUCCUUUACAUGGACAUUAUUACAUACAUGUAUGUCCUAAAUGGCACCCUAUUCCCUAUAUACUAUAUAGUGCACUACUCUAGACCAGAGCCCUAUUCCCUAUAUAGUGCACUACAUUAGACCAGAGCCCUAUUCCCUAUAUAGUGCACUACAUUAGACCAGGGCCCUAUUCCCUAUAUAGUGCACUACAUUAGACCAGGGCCCUAUUCCCUAUAUAGUGCACUACUCUAGACCAGAGCCCUAUUCCCUAUAUAGUGCACUACAUUAGACCAGGGCCCUAUUCCCUAUAUAGUGCACUACUUUAGACCAGGGCC
ensembl:lncRNA